UGACGGUUUGCGGUUUCUGCGCCUGCUCGAAGGCGACAUCGACGAUGUAGUUCUUGUCCUCGCGGAAGGCGUGGAUAUCCGCCUCGCCGAUCAGCGCAAUAUCGACGCGUGACGCAUCGCCUUCGAUCUUCNNAUCGAUGUGAUGUUCGCAGGCAUCGCGAUCUUCGCGUCCGCAAGAUCGAACACCAGCGGCGAAGUGAACGACAGCGUGAAUUUCUCCGUGCUCAACGAGGACGACACGUUGACG
rnacentral:misc_RNA from 1 species